rnacentral:tRNA from 1 species
UCUCUUGUGGCUCAGAUGGUAAAGAACCUGCCUGUAAUGCAGGAGACCCAGGUUCAAUCCCUGAGUUGGGAA